UACGGAGGGUGCGAGCGUUAUCCGGAUUCACUGGGUUUAAAGGGUGCGUAGGUGGGAAUGUAAGUCAGUGGUGAAAUCUCUGAGCUUAACUCAGAAACUGCCAUUGAUACUUAUGUUUCUUGAAUUUUUCUGGAGGUCAGCGGAAUAUGUCAUGUAGCGGUGAAAAUGCUUAGAUAUGACAUAGAACACCAAAUUGCGAAAGGCAGCUGGCUACAGGGGAUA
rnacentral:rRNA from 1 species